rfam:Nasonia vitripennis chromosome 2, whole genome shotgun sequence.
AAAUCGGCCCUUUUCAGAGCCACCAACAAAUUAACAUAGAGAAACU